CUUACCUCUUGGAUUCCAAGGCCCUGGGUGACCCGGAGCCUCAGGCCUGCGUGCGAGCUCGCCACCGCUGAGAGACUCAGGCGCCCCCUGCAGGAGCCCCGGCCGCAGGCCCAGGGACAGCAGGGAAAUCUUGACAUUCAACCGGUCUACAUGCAACACUCCACUCAAGCCGGCCCCGAGAUUAAGGGCCCACCUCCUUAGAAAUCACCUGGCGACAACCCCUGUCAACCAUCGGAGAGGACACUGAAUGACCUGGACACUCCUCAACCUACAGCUGUUCCCAACCCAACUACUACAAGACCUCUGGACCAGCGCCCCGACUGGAACCUCCUACGAAGAUCUGACCAUGCGGAUGUCUCAUCCGUGGCUCCAGGGGAAUUUCUACAACCUAAGUCCAGAUGAAAUUGAUUUCUUUACUCUCAUUCUCUACAUCAUUCUACAUCCUAAUGAACACUGUUCCUCCUCAGAUUAAGCAACCACCAACUUGGGGCCUUCUGCCCCUCACCCUGACUGGCCUUUCCCCAUCUCUCUAACUAUAACUGCACUUUUAAUCUUAGUCCUUGCUAUAGACCUCGUAACUGUCUCCCCUCAGGACUGGUCCCCUAUCCUUCAUCUCUUUGUCGAUAUCGCCUACGUUGUUAGCUGUGUUCUACUCCUAGGGUGCUAUUUCCCCCACACUGCCUAAAUAACAGACCCAUGACUGCCCUGUUCCUUAUCCUUUCUGCACUUCCCUGCCUUCUGGCUAGUCCCUGCCCCUGCUCAGACAUUUAUUCCUAUGUUCAUUCCUCAUGUUAAAAUAUGGCUCCAAGACCAUGCACCAUGAACCUCGGCGGGGGGAGUCCAAAUCCCUAUUCACUGUUAAAGUACAGAAGGAAGGAGUUUCGAGAGCACCUGCCAUAAGCCAAAUGGAAGAAACAUAUGUCUCUAUC